rnacentral:rRNA from 1 species
CAGUCGCCGCGGGAAUACGUAGGUGGCAAGCGUUGUCCGGAAUUAUUGGGCGUAAAGGGCUCGCAGGCGGUUUCUCAAGUCUGAUGUGGAAGCCCCCGGCUCAACCGGGGAGGGUCAUUGGAAACUGGGAAACUUGAGUGCAGAAGAGGAGAGUGGAAUUCCACGUGUAGCGGUGAAAUGCGUAGAGAUGUGGAGGAACACCAGUGGCGGAGGCGACUCUCUGGUCUGUAACUGACGCUGAGGAGCGAAAGCGUGGGGAGCGAACAGGAUUAGAUACCCCGGUAGUCCCUGUCUCUUAUAC